rnacentral:misc_RNA from 1 species
GUAACUUAUCCAAGCCUUGUGAUGGUGUUGUUGGGGGUGGAGGGGGGAGUUCAAGUUCAUGUUCUGGGCCAGGGAAGAAGAAAGAGAUAAUGGGAGAGAGUAGGAUGAUGGAAUUUCAGCGGAGUGGUGUGGGUGAUAAUGACCACAACUGGGAUAGCAUGAUUUCUCCUGGAACUGUCCAUCCUGGAGAGGUAAGUCCGAAUUUGCAGGCAAGGUCGCAGAUGCGGAAUGGGGAAUCAUCGACAGAGGCAGGUCAACAUAAGUCAUCAUGGG